UACGAAGGGGGCUAGCGUUGUUCGGAGUUACUGGGCGUAAAGGGCGCGUAGGCGGCGCAUCAAGUCAGGCGUGAAAGCCCUGGGCUCAACCCGGGAAUUGCGCUUGAGACUGGUGUGCUUGAGUACGGGAGAGGAUAGUGGAAUUCCCAGUGUAGCGGUGAAAUUCGUAGAUAUUGGGAAGAACACCAGUGGCGAAGGCGGCUAUCUGGACCGUAACUGACGCUGAGGCGCGAAAGCGUGGGGAGCGAACAGG
rnacentral:rRNA from 1 species